rnacentral:rRNA from 1 species
ACGAACGCUGACGGCGUGCUUAACACCUGCAAGUCGCACGGAAAGGCCCUGCUUUUGUGGGGUGCUCGAGUGGCGAACGGGUGAGUAACACGUGAGUAACCUGCCCUUGACUUUGGGAUAACUUCAGGAAACUGGGGCUAAUACCGGAUAGGAGCUCCUGCUGCAUGGUGGGGGUUGGAAAGUUUCGGCGGUUGGGGAUGGACUCGCGGCUUAUCAGCUUGUUGGUGGGGUAGUGGCUUACCAAGGCUUUGACGGGUAGCCGGCCUGAGAGGGUGACCGGCCACAUUGGGACUGAGAUACGGCCCAGACUCCUACGGGAGGCAGCAGUGGGGAAUAUUGCACAAUGGGCGGAAGCCUGAUGCAGCAACGCCGCGUGCGGGAUGACGGCCUUCGGGUUGUAAACCGCUUUCGCCUGUGACGAAGCGUGAGUGACGGUAAUGGGUAAAGAAGCACCGGCUAACUACGUG